AUGUCAUCAGUAUUACUCAACUGUCUGGACAAGCAAGAAGAAGACCUUCGCAACCUGUUCUAUGAGGCCAAUUUCACCCUAAAACCAAGGGUCCCUGGGGGAAGAGGAGUGUUCAGUUCAGACAACACCAUAUACCUUCAGGCUCAAAUUGUCAGUUUCCUGCUGCUCAGUGUCAUAGUGAGCAUAGUGUCCAGUGGAGAAAUUGUGCUCAUGCAGUCUCCACAGUCCCUGGCUGCUUCCCAAGGAGAGAGGGUCACCAUGACCUGCACAGCCAGCUCCAGUAUAAGCACCAGCUACUUGCACUGGUACCAACAGAAGCUGGGGUCCUCUCCAUGUCUACUGAUCUAUAGAACAUCCACCAUGGCCUCUGGAGUCCCAGAGUGCUUCAGUGGCAGUGGGUCUGGGACCUCCUACACACUCACCAUCAGCAGCAUGGAGGCUGAAGAUGUUGCAACUUACUACUGUCAGUACUGUUGUAGCUCCCCACCCACAUGGUGA